rnacentral:rRNA from 1 species
GGUAGCUAGCGGGAGGCUUACACAUGCAAGUCGAGGGGCAGCACGGGAUAGCAAUAUUCUGGUGGCGACCGGCGCACGGGUGAGUAACACGUAUGCAACCUACCUCGUACAGGGGGAUAACCCGGAGAAAUUCGGACUAAUAUCCCAUAAUGAUAUUGAGAGGCAUCUUUUAAUAUUUAAAGCUCAGGCGGUACGGGAUGGGCAUGCGGAACAUUAGCUAGUUGGCAGGGUAACGGCCUACCAAGGCUGCGAUGUUUAGGGGACCUGAGAGGGUUAUCCCCCACACUGGUACUGAGACACGGACCAGACUCCUACGGGAGGCAGCAGUGAGGAAUAUUGGUCAAUGGGCGCAAGCCUGAACCAGCCAUCCCGCGUGAAGGAAGAAGGCGCUAUGCGUUGUAAACUUCUUUUCCAGGGGGAGAAUUUUUCCGUCGUGACGGGAAUUGACGGUACUCUGGGAAUAAGCAUCGGCUAACUCCGUGCCAGCAGCCGCGGUAAUACGGAGGAUGCGAGCGUUAUCCGGAUUUAUUGGGUUUAAAGGGUGCGUAGGCGGAUAGAUAAGUCAGUGGUGAAAUUCUGCAGCUUAACUGUAGACUUGCCGUUGAUACUGUCAGUCUUGAGUAUGGUCAAGGCAGGCGGAAUGUGUAAUGUAGCGGUGAAAUGCUUAGAUAUUACACAGAACACCGAUUGCGAAGGCAGCUUGCUGGGCCAUUACUGACGCUGAUGCACGAAAGCGUGGGGAUCGAACAGGAUUAGAUACCCCUGGUAGUCCACGCCGUAAACGAUGAUCACUCGCUGUUGGCGAUACACAGUCAGCGGCUAAGCAAAGGCAUUAAGUGAUCCACCCUGGGGAGUACGGCCGCAAGGCUGAAACUCAAAUGAAUUGACGGAAGGCG